rfam:Ictidomys tridecemlineatus contig061719, whole genome shotgun sequence.
GGGGUUGUGGCUCAGAGGUAGAGCGCUCGCCUACUAUGUGUGAGAUGCUGGGUUCGAUCCUCAGCAUCACAU